rnacentral:rRNA from 1 species
CCUACGGGAGGCAGCAGUGGGGAAUAUUGCUCAAUGGAGGAAACUCUGAAGCAGCCACGCCGCGUGGAGGAUGAAGGUUUUCGGAUUGUAAACUCCUUUUGUUAGAGAAGAAAAUGACGGUAUCUAACGAAUAAGCACCGGCUAACUCCGUGCCAGCAGCCGCGGUAAUACGGAGGGUGCAAGCGUUACUCGGAAUCACUGGGCGUAAAGAGCGCGUAGGCGGGAUAGCAAGUCAGAUGUGAAAUCCUAUGGCUUAACCAUAGAACUGCAUUUGAAACUGUUAUUCUAGAGUAUGGGAGAGGUAGGUGGAAUUCUUGGUGUAGGGGUAAAAUCCGUAGAGAUCAAGAGGAAUACUCAUUGCGAAGGCGACCUGCUAGAACAUAACUGACGCUGAUGCGCGAAAGCGUGGGGAGCAAACAGGAUUAGAUACCCUAGUAGUC